UAUUUAUUAGAUAAAAAACCAAUGCCCUUCGGGGCUCCUUGGUGAAUCAUAAUAACUUAACGAAUCGCAUGGSCUUGCGCCGGCGAUGGUUCAUUCAAAUUUCUGCCCUWUCAACUUUCGAUGGUAGGRUAGUGGCCUACCACGGUAUCRACGGGUAACGGGGAAUUAGGGUUCGRCUCCGGAGAGGGAGCCUGAGAAACGGCUACCACAUCCAAGGAAGGSAGCAGGCGCGCAAAUUACCCAAUCCCGACACGGGGAGGUAGUGACAAUAAAUACUGAUACAGGGCUCUUUUGGGUCUUGKAAUUGGAAUGAGUACAAUUUAAAUCCCUUAACGAGGAACAAUUGGAGGGCAAGKCUGGUGCCAGCAGCCGCGGUAAUUCCAGCUCCAAUAGCGUAUAUUAAAGUUGUUGCAGUUAAAAAGCUCGUAGUUGAACCUUGGGCCUGGCUGGCCGGUCCGCCUCACCGCGUGUACUGGUCCGGCCGGGCCUUUCCUUCUGGGGAACCUCAUGCCCUUCACUGGGCGUGUUGGGGAACCAGGACUUUUACUUUGAAAAAAUUAGAGUAUUCAAAGCAGG
rnacentral:rRNA from 1 species